CAGCUACCUGCUGGAUCAUGGAGUCCGUGAUGGAGGGGAGGAGGAACCAGUUCAUGCAGUCAAAGCUGGAGGUGACAGACCACAGGAGAGAGCAUGCUAACUAUGCGCAGAAAGGCAGCAGCUGGGAUUCGAACCUACGACCUUCUCACUUUGAGGCCACAAUUCCACCAUGCAGCCCGUAAGAUCUUGUAUCUCGAGCCUAUUGCACAUCUGCAAAGCAGGAGCAAGUCUGAUCUAUGGAGGCCCCAUGCUGAAGCCCAAAAGACCCAAAGCACGAACUGAGAAUGUUCCGGUGCCAAACGCCACAGGAGACCUGCUUUGAUCCUGACUGGUUACGGCUUUUUUAGUGAUGCAAAGGGGCUUUAUGUUACAAAAACAUGGAAUGUCAGUGUUGCAGGUGAUUUACACACGGUGGAACAUUUGAAAAGUAGCUUUGCUUUCGUAAUUGUUUACAUAUAUGUUAAAGUUCAUUUGCAAGGACUUAUGGAACUUGGAAAAAGAGAAAGAAGGCAGAAUAUAGAUCUUUUCCUGUCAAGAAACAUAGAUUAAAAAAUCUGGUAUAAUUCAUAGAAUAUCUUUGUAAUUUUUCUGAUUUAAAACAAGAAAUUAAGUUGUUAGAGGAGUUCAGAGUGUAGCUUUUGUGUUGGACUCAGACACUCCUUUUCUUUCAUCCAUGAAGUUAAUAAAAAAAAGAGAUUUAGCGAGGAAAGGGCCAAAGGGUGUUUGGUUUCUGGCUGUUUGUGAGUGACAGAAAGAUAAAAAUGCUAAAGGAACAUAUGGCAGGAUGUGCAGAUUCCUUUCAGUUUAAGACAAAUAGGAUGUAUGCCUGUUAGGACUGAUAAUAUCACUGAUAGCACAAGUUAUGGCAGUCAGUGUGUGCAUGUUAAUAUAUUUUAGCGUUGUUUAAGCAUGAAUGUGUCGUCUGGUUUUGGUUUUAAACUAAAUGUGUGCAUUUAGUUGUGUUACCAGAGUUAGGCUGUGAAUAGUGUGGGCUGUUGUAAUGGUGAUUUGCCUCCGUUUCAACCCCUGAGCGAAGGUGACUUAGUAAAAAGUAGGAAUUUUGAGAUCAGGUUUUUUUUCUG